AUUGAACGCUGGCGGCAGGCCUAACACAUGCAAGUCGAACGAGUGGCGGACGGGUGAGUAAUGUCUGGGAAACUGCCCGAUGGAGGGGGUUACCUACUGGAAACGGUAGCUAGUCCCGCAUACCAUCGGAUGUGCCCAGAUGUGAUUAGCUAGUAGGUGGGGUAAUGGCUCACCUAGGCGACGAUCCCUAGCUGGUCUGAGAGGAUGACCAGCCACACUGGAACUGAGACACGGUCCAGACCCCUACGGGAGGAAGCAGUGGGGAACAUUGCACAAUGGGGGAAAGCCGGAUGCAGCAAUGCGGCGUGUAUGAAGAAGUCCUUCGGGUUGUAAAGUACUUUCAGCGGGGAGGCGUUACCCGCAGAAGAAGCACCGGCUAACUCCGUGCCAGCAGCCGCGGUAAUUC
rnacentral:rRNA from 1 species